rnacentral:rRNA from 2 species
UGGGCGACUCUAAGGAGACUGCCGGUGACAACCGGAGGAAGGUGGGGAUGACGUCAAGUCAUCAUGGCCCUUACGGCCUGGGCUACACACGUGCUACAAUGGUCGGUACAAAGGGUUGCCAAGCCGCGAGGUGGAGCUAAUCCCAUAAAACCGAUCGUAGUCCGGAUCGCAGUCUGCAACUCGACUGCGUGAAGUCGGAAUCGCUAGUAAUCGUGAAUCAGAAUGUCACGGUGAAUACGUUCCCGGGCCUU